rnacentral:tRNA from 1 species
GCCGAGAUGGUGAAACUGGUAGACACGUUACUUUGAGGGAGUAAUGUUCAUGUGGGCAUGCGGGUUCGAAUCCCGCUCUCGGCA